AACGAACGCUGGCGGCGUGCCUAACACAUGCAAGUCGUGCGAGAAAGUUCCUUCGGGAGCGAGUAAAGCGGCGCACGGGUGAGUAACACGUAGGUAACCUGCCCCCCAGUCUGGAACAACUAGAGGAAACUCUAGCUAAUGCCGGAUGAGACCACGAUCCCUUCGGGGGUUGCGGCCAAAGAUGGCCUCUACUUGUAAGCUAUCGCUGAGGGAUGGGCCUGCGGGCCAUUAGCUUGUUGGUGAGGUAACGGCUCACCAAGGCUGUGAUGGCUAGCUGGUCUGAGAGGAUGACCAGCCACACUGGGACUGAGACACGGCCCAGACUCCUACGGGAGGCAGCAGUGGGGAAUAUUGCGCAAUGGGCGAAAGCCUGACGCAGCGACGCCGCGUGGGUGAUGAAGGCCUCGGUCGGUAAGGACCCGUCGUCGCACGGGAAGGAAGUAAAGACGAAUACGGUA
rnacentral:rRNA from 1 species